rnacentral:rRNA from 1 species
GAUGAACGCUGGCGGCGUGCUUAACACAUGCGAGUCGAACGAGAAGUGGAGACGGACCCCUUCGGGCGGAAGCCUUUAUUUGGAUAAGCGGACGGGUGAUUAACGCGUGGGUAACCUGCCUCAUACAGGGGGAUAACAGUUGGACACGACUGUUAAUACCGCAUAAGACCACAGCACCGCAUGGUGCGGGGGUGAAAACUCCGGUUGUAUGAGAUGGAUCGGCGGUGGAUUAGCCAGUUGGCGGGGUAACGGGCCACCAGAGCGACGAUAGGCAGCCUAGCAGAGAGGAUGGCCGGAGACACUGAGACUGAGCCACGGUCCGAAAUCUUACGGGAGGCAGCAGUGGGGGAUAUUGCACAACGGGGGGAGCCCUGAUGCAGCGACGAUGCGUGAGUGAAGAAGUUUGGCAGUAUGUAAAGCUCUAUCAGCAGGGAAGAAAAUGACGGUACCUGAGGAAGAAGCCCCGGCUAACUACGUG